rnacentral:sRNA from 1 species
CCAAGGAUCACACGCUAUCCAUUACUUGCCACUCGACAAGUCCGCCCUUGAAAAGAUAAAAUCCGCCUCACCAUGUCGAGGCUGUCGUAGCAUCAUCCGCUGGAAAGGAAUUUCCAGGUCAUCCCCAGUCACACAUGUCGGUUGGCCAUCUUUCCCUCGAGAUCUCAUGGUUUCUUGAAUGGAUUUGGGUGCCGGAUGGGGACUCCGGUAGGCAUUCUCCCAACGAUUUGACACCAAAUAUUGCCACUCCGUCUUUUAAUAUCGAUUGAAAUGGUAGAGCGGACGUCGCCACCCAGCCGGUAGGGCCACUAUACCACAUCUUGUUUGACUCGCUCUCGUGAUUCCGAGAAGGCCACUUCCAGCGCGAUGGUCGGCCAUUGGUAAGAUCUCCUUGGAGGAAGAUCUUGUGAAGCCUAUGAGCGGUCAGACUGCUUCUCUCUGCCAGGAAAUUUUACACGUGUGCUGCCUUUGAAAGCGAGAGCGUCGAAGAUACCCAUCUCAUCAGCUUUGGCCGCAAUGCGGUAGCCAAAUACUUCGGUGGCCGCUUCGUGAGGGGUGAAAAGCGUUGUUAGAAUCAUGAGUUGGAGAGUAGGAUUGUAGUCGACUUUUCCUGGAAAUCUUUCUUCAUGAUUUCUAAUUUCAGGGUGGGGGAAAUCUGUGAAGAUAAUGCAGGGACUUCGGGUUUCGUCUAGGAAGCGCCUGCAUUCUUCAUUUACGGCUUCUUCCAAGCAUUGGAACCCUGAAUAUUUGUAUUUGCGGGUUUGUGGAGGAAGGUGUUCCAGGAAUCGACAUCGCGCUUGCAUUUUCGCAUUUACCAUAUUCGCGGGGUAAUUUACAGAUGUUGAAGGGAAAGGAAGGGUGACUGAGUGAUUGUAUUCUCUGUCUCUGUCGAGGUGCUCGUUGAAUAUUCACUGCAUCUCGAAGCAUGGAGAUAUUAAGAAAAGCAAACGAAUGUAUCGAUGAUGAAAGAUUAAACUUAAAUAGUCAGCGGCGAACUUGCGAUCUCGUCAACUGUACACCUUUAUCCUCUAAUACUCUAUUGCAUCCUUGUGCGCG